CACGUAGGGCGCAAGCGUUGUCCGGAAUUAUUGGGCGUAAAGGGCGCGUAGGCGGCGUGACAAGUCACUUGUGAAAUCUCCGGGCUUAACUCGGAGCGGCCAAGUGAUACUGUCGUGCUAGAGUGCGGAAGGGGCUACUGGAAUUCUCGGUGUAGCGGUGAAAUGCGUAGAUAUCGAGAGGAACACCUGCGGCGAAGGCGGGUAGCUGGGCCGACACUGACGCUGAGGCGCGAAAGCUAGGGGAGCGAACGGG
rnacentral:rRNA from 1 species